rnacentral:piRNA from 1 species
UUUCAAUAGCGCAUUUUGUGC